AUUGAACGCUGGCGGCAGGCUUAACACAUGCAAGUCGAGCGGAGAUGAGGUGCUUGCACCUUAUCUUAGCGGCGGACGGGUGAGUAAUGCUUAGGAAUCUGCCUAUUAGUGGGGGACAACAUUCCGAAAGGAAUGCUAAUACCGCAUACGUCCUACGGGAGAAAGCAGGGGAUCUUCGGACCUUGCGCUAAUAGAUGAGCCUAAGUCGGAUUAGCUAGUUGGUGGGGUAAAGGCCUACCAAGGCGACGAUCUGGAGCGGGUCUGAGAGGAUGAUCCGCCACACUGGGACUGAGACACGACCCAGACUCCUACGGGAGGCAGCAGUGGGGAAUAUUGGACAAUGGGGGAAACCCUGAUCCAGCCAUGCCGCGUGUGUGAAGAAGGCCUUAUGGUUGUAAAGCACUUUAAGCGAGGAGGAGGCUACUGAGACUAAUACUCUUGGAUAGUGGACGUUACUCGCAGAAUGAGCACCGGCUAACUCUGUGCCAGCAGCCGCAGUAA
rnacentral:rRNA from 1 species